AACGACUCUCGGCAACGGAUAUCUCGGCUCUCGCAUCGAUGAAGAACGUAGCGAAAUGCGAUACUUGGUGUGAAUUGCAGAAUCCCGUGAACCAUCGAGUCUUUGAACGCAAGUUGCGCCCGAAGCCAUCCGGCUGAGGGCACGUCUGCCUGGGUGUCACGCA
rnacentral:rRNA from 13 species